UGUCACUGUGAUUAAGAAUAAUGUAUGGGAGAUGUUCUAAUGCCAGUGGUGAUGAAUAAAGUGAAAAAUAAGGUGAUACGAUACAGGAAAACUUUAAAGUUCUGAAACUUCUCAGAUAGAGUCCAUAGUAUCAAUAUAAGUUUCUAAAACACUGAAUCCUUGUUAAAGAUAAAAAGCACUUAAAAACCCCACCCCUUAUUUUAAAGUAGAAAUUUAAUAUUUGAAUCCAAAACCUAAAAGUUGCAAUUCAGUUUAAAGUUGUACAGGCAAGAAAAAAGAAGAAGAAAAAAAAUUUCCAAAACAUUACAUUAUCUCAGCUGAACAAAUAAGAAAAUAUAUCAAGGUAUAAAAGCUGGUUUUCCUUGGUUGAUGCUGAGCAUGUGGUAAAGCCAUGUCAGGUGAAUUACUUCUCUGAGAGGUCCAAUCAGCAAACAUUAAGUCAGUCAUAAAAUACCAAAAUCAAGUUGGCUCAUCAGAAUAGUACUUUGCUUGUUCCAUUUCAUUACUCCAGUUUAUCAACAUUUUUCAAUACAGUGAAUGAUCAUACUAGCAUGAUGUCAUGCUGCAAAAUGAGUAAUGGCAUGAUGAAAUUAAAAAUUUUUCAGAAGUAAUUUUAGUAAUGCAGUAGGAGCCCUAAAGAAAAAAGAAAUCCCAACCAAUUAGUUUUCAAAUAUUAGCAAUUUUGCUCAUUAGUCAUGCAUAUUCAAAUGUAGAUUAAAAGAAACCUCAUCUAAUCAGCCACAUUAUGCAAUUCUAUUAAACAUGUGACUCUCUCAUCUGCCUUAAAAGCCUAGUUAGAUUUCCCAACUUUUGUUUCAUUUUUGCAACUAGUAAGUAAAGGAAUAGGUUAAAAAUAACCCUCUGCCUUGGUACAGGUUGGGAACCAACAAGUUGGAAAGCAGCUUUGUAGAACAGGCCCUGCAGGUCUGGCCAACAGGAAAUUGCCCUUGAGCUAGCAUUACACCUUUGCAGCAAAAAAACCCAUGGCAUCCUGAGAUGCAUUAGGAAGAACCUCAUCAGAAUCUUCUCAAUGUAUUUAAAUAACUGGUGGAAGGAAAUACAGAGGAUGAAACCAGACCCUUUGAGAUGGAACCAAUGAAAGGACAAGGGGCAAUGGACACAAUUUGGAACAGGAAAUCCUGUUUAAAGUUCAAAAAGGGUCUGCAUUUGAAAUGAUUGGAGUGGAAAGAAAUACAAGUAGAAAAAAAAAUCCACCCUAUAACCUACAGUGAAUAAGGAGCAGGUGUUUUGGCUACAUCUUUUACACCAGCACAAGUACCCCUUUGCCUGCACAAUGAAUUAAAUAACCUCGGUGAUCAGCCUGCAAACUAAUCCUCCUAACGCACUUUAAAAACAUCAUUUUCAAAUGGAUGAGUGAGCUGAAGAGACCUGCUGCAAAGCUGGACAGAUGCUCCGGAUGAUGCAAAGAAAGGACUGAAAUACAUUGCCUCAGGCAAGACUACCUUUUCGCCAGUGACAUUUAAAUUAACAUCAGAGGACCAUGAAACCACACCAUUAAGCCUCCAGGGACAAAAACCUCAGUUUCAGUUCCUUAAUUUAUGCCUUCUUUAUGUUUCUCUCUACAGAAGGAUGAAGUGUUAAUUACUAUUCUAACCAGCCCCACUUGAACUCACUCAAUGUCUCACCUACCUGAAAGAGAAGAUGUAACCUCUACUUGGCACCUUAUUUAUUCUCCGAGCAGAGUGAAUCUCAUCCAUACUGCAUCAUUAAAAAUCUUGCUUGAAAAGAUAAAAUGUAACUGCUCAAGAAAGAUCUUGCAAUAGCCCAGAAGGAAAACUCCCUGGUCUGAAGCAUAUUCCAGUGAUGCACUAGCAAUAUGUAAUUUUAGUAGUGCUUUGAUUUAGUAGUAUGCUUUUAGUAGUAUGCUCUGAUUCUUAACAGUAGGUGGAAUAUUAGCCUUUUAGAACUGCAGAAAAAAGCAAUAAAUUCUAAAUUAUUGUGCAUGCUCAGUGUUGCACUUAGCCUGAUUUGCAGGGAAAUACGAUUAUUAGAGAUGACUGCAAGCAUUUGCAUAUUGUCUUCAGCAGCUUUAAAUUACUCUGACACCAUAAAAUGCAAUAUAGGAAUAUUGCAAAAUAAGUAGAUAAGGACAAUUUUUUUAAAAAUAUGAUGAAUAUGAAAGAAUAAAGACUGGAUGAUUGCUAAAAAGGUAGGCAAAAACUAUAAUGCCUUAAAAGUUAAAAGCUACAUUUGCACUUGAGAUAUUUGAGGAUUUUUACAGAACAGCAGAUUCAGUUAGGUUUUCAUGCAAUUAAAUAAAUAAUGAAAAGCCCUCACAGCAACCCUCUGGUUCUUUUGAAGCACAGUGCAAGAAAAAAGUUACCAUGGAAACAAGAAGCACAAAACUAUGACAAAAACUAGAAAAAUACCACUGCUUCUCAGCAGUUAAGAAAAAAUACUAGCAAGGCUAGGAGUAAUUAAUUAAUGUUGUCAGUCUUUCAAAUAUUUAUUUAAAUGAGUACAUGUUACACAUUACACAAAUGAAUCCCCCCACUAAAAAACCAAACCAAAGCCUCCCCCUAAAAAACAAACGAAGCAAAAAAUCCCCAAACAAACAAAAACCCAAAAAAACCAAAACCCCUCAGUGUGCAAGCUACUUCUCCAAGGUGGGAAAAACACCAAAAUCAAUUCAAAACACGCAGGAGUACAGGUCUUGUAAUUACCCUGCAACUGCUAAACACUGUGUUGGAAACAGAUGUUCAUCAUGCAUCUGUUUCUAUUGAUAGCAUUUUGUUUCUCACAUCAUGUAGGUAUUUCAGACAACCACACAAAGUUACAAGGGUCCUCUGGAGAUCACCUGCUCUAAGCCCCUGCUGAAGCAGGAUCAGCUGCAGCACACCAUCCAUUUCAGUGCUGCCUUUUUCUACAAACAAAAUCAGACCCUGUUGAUUUCAGAAUCAGCUACUUGGUUAAAUAAAGGUGAAUACAUAAAAAAAAAUGGUCAUGACAGGAACUAAACCUACUGUAAAUUGCAAUUGCCAUUUAAAUGCAUUAUCAUAUGGGAAGAGGGGGGAAUAAAAAAUCUAUGUUUUUUAAAAAGUCAGGUAAAAAAGUCUCUAUAAUGUGACUUUCAACUCACUGGAAUUAUUUUUCUAUUGCAUAAAAAUGUACCUGUCACUUAUUAUAAUUGGUUAACUGUACACUGAUAUAUUAUUAAAAAUAAAAUACAAAUAUAACUACUUUUUGGUUUUUUCUUUCUAUUUUUCUGGGCAAAUGGAUACUGUGGACAUAUCUUUAACUUACAUAUCCUGAAGGCAUUUAUAUUUCAGUAUUUCUGUGUAAAAUUUCAAACAUGCAAUGUUUUCUUCUUAAUGUAUUCAAUCAAAGUAAUUUUGAAUGUGUGCAUUCCCUUGCUGUAUUUCAGAAUCAGAUGUCUCAUUUUCCCUAGCUUUUAUUCUCUUUGUCACUUUUACAUCCAUUUACAUACUACCUCUACUUCUUCAGUUUAUUCUUAAUCCUUUCCCAACCUUCUUGACUUUAGUUUUUGUGUGGUAGUUUCCUCCUUAUUUUUGCUGGACCAAAUUAAAUAUUUUCACCACGUAAUUUGUUUUGCAUUACAUCCUGGCCUUUUAACUCUCAGUCAUGAACACUCACUAAUUUGCUUAUCCCAUGAGCACCUGUAUAUUUCUUCCAAUUUUUCUUCCUUUA